rnacentral:misc_RNA from 1 species
UCCCUGUUACCAGGGCAGUCUAGCCUGAAAAAUACAACAGACUACAAGGGUUGCGCUCGUUGAUGGACUUAACCAAACAUCUCACGACACGAGCUGACGACGGCCAUGCAUCACCUGUCACUUGGCUCUAAUAAAAGCACUUUCUGCUUUCGCAGAAAUUCCAAGGAUGUCAAGCCUGGGUAAGGUUCUUCGCUUACCAUCGAAUUAAACAACACGCUCCACCGCUUGUGCGGGUCCCCGUCAAUUCCUUUAUGUUUUAGUCUUGCGACCGUACUCCACAGGCGGGAUGCUUAACGCGUUAGCUUCGCCACAUCCGGGGUCGAUACCGAAUACGGCUAGCAUCCAUAGUUUACGGCGUGGACUAC